rnacentral:lncRNA from 1 species
AGUUUGAAAUGUAAAUGUAUUACACUACGUUUUAUUUUGUGUCGUGCAACUGUGAAUUAACGUCAUUCAAAUCUGGUUAGUAUAAAAGCAAAUCAACUUAUUUUUUGUUGAACAAGUAUUAGGACAUAUUUAUUUAUUCAGUAUUCUAGAAUUUCCCAGUAAUAUGAGUCCAUUGUACCACUUAUAAUUAAUACAUGUAUUCUGUAGAGACGUUUGACAAUACUGUACAUUUAUAUUAUGUUGUCUAGGUUUUCAAAAUCAGAAACGAAGCAAGAAGAACUUUUCUGAGGCUUAAGUGUUGAAGUUCAGUUGUGAUUGUCAUGCCCUAGGAUAUGCUAAUGGAUUGAUGGAGAAGAACGUCUGGAUUCAGAUACAGAAAGUAACAUGGUAGACAUGUACAUAUUUAAAGCAAGUGGAAACCUUUAAAAGAACGAACAACUAAACUAAGAAUUAUGUGCACAUCAUAGGAUAUUGACGUCAAUGAAAACAAAAUGUUUGUACUAGUUGAUCGCAGGAAUAUUGAUGAAAAAGUUAAAAGACAUUCAGUGAUAGGGAUGAAGUGAAGGCCUUAUCGAUAAACAAAGAGUCCCCAGUUCAGGAAAUGGUACAGCGCUGAGAGUAUUUUGAAAGUUAAGAAAGGUGAAAUGUAUAAAGUGAGAUUUCAUGAAGAUGGUUCCUAGUAAGUCCGGAAUAUGGCUCGUAUUUGAAGAAAAAAUGUGAUUGUUUGUAAAAGCAGUUUACAUGAAAUAUAGUUUGAGCUUUUAAUCAAAAUGUUGUUCUUUCUUUAUAUUCAACGGAUGUUUUUUGUAGUGCAAGUUAGCAUAACCUUAAAAAGAGAUGCAGGCAAACCUGUGUUAAAGACCACCUCUGAACAGAGGCCACCUGACUCUAAAGACCACAUGUUUUGUUUCCAGUUUUAACAUUUAUUUAGCCUGUGACUACCUCCAAAUAAAGACCACAUUUUGGCUCUACCUAGUCUUGUCUU